ACGACAAAACAAGUGGAGUUGCGCGUACACGCCCAAUAAAAAACGCUUAAAUUUGGAUAAAAGGAUUUAAAAAGGAUAUGCCUUCCAGUUGUGCGAGUGAAAAUGAAUCAGUAUAAAAGUGAAAAACAGCUGGCAUACCUGUAUCCGCUUAUCGCGACCUUAUCUUUCGUGUGUUGUAUUUCGACCACCGUGGCUUGGCAGCAUUGGGCUUAUGUCUUGGACACCUGUAUCGAGACGAAUUGCGGUUGCAUUCUUCAUGGACGCUCCACUCCGACCUUCUUUACCGGUGGCCAUGUGGCCUAUUGCCACUGGGCUGCUUACGGAUUGGUGCUACCCAUAAUCUUUUGCUUCAUUUUUGGCAUCUUCCACGUUUCGCGUGUGUUUUUCGGUCGCCGUAGACCGCGCCCAGGGACUGCUUCUGUACGGCAAAGAUCUGGCGACAUUAUCGUGAUGACCACAAAAUCCGACGUCGAGGAAGACGACAUUAACCCUUACUACUGGAUUCCGGCCAGUGUGAUCGGCAGUCUGAUGGCAGUUUUAACGCUCGUUCAUGCAGCCAUGUACCUGGACGGAUUCAUAAAUACCUGCAACCAACAACGCUACGAACUCAUUAAAUACAUGCAAGCGAACGGCAGCUUAGUGCCCAUAAUUCAGAGUCGCAUAUCGUGCUCAUCGGUGCUGGACUUCAUGGACUAUCUGCACCUGGAUGUUUCGUUCGACAGACGACGAGAGGGCCGAAUUAAUACCGCUGCUGCACUGAUCAUUGGUUUGAUAUGCUCAUGGACCUGCAUCCUUCUAUGGAUUUGGACCGUGGUCAUUAACGCAAAAAGGGCUAGAGCCAGUCGGAGAUUGCGCAUCUGAGGGCAUUGCCCACGGAUUGUAGUCUACCGCGUAAUGUGUCUGCUAGCUGUUCCAAGGAAAAAUGCUUUACCAGAACCACCAGAACGGAGGAGAAGGAGUACUCUUCGGACCAUUUCUAGCUUCCAUCAGUGAACGCGAGAAAUUCCCACCCGCUUACUCUGCCAAUAUGGACACACGCCGGGAUGCGGCAUUGGGUCGAUGUUUCUGGAUCGAUGAUAAACUAUCAUUGUUUAUUUUCCGGUAAGUAACUCAUCGGUUGUCGGCCAGGACAAUCAUUCAGCAUAGGAUUCACGCGUCAUUUCUCCUCCAAACUGAACCACUCGGCAAACCAUAUUUUGACGAUUAUUGUGGGGAAUGAUAACACGGUGUAAUCGCAUUAAUUUUGUCCACAAAACACAUUCGCGCUCAUCAUCGCGCCGUUAUCUUUCUCUUGAUUAUGCUGCCGCCGCACUGUGUUGAAAUAGCAGAAGGGGUUUUCUCAGAGGCGCUGCCGGUUGUAUGGUCGGAAAUUCCGAAAAUUGGAUACAAUUGUUUGGGACACGUGCAAGCGGGUCGUGUGCGGUUUCAUGACACACGUGACGGUUGAAAUGGCCGUAACUGCACCGAAAGACUGAUACCGAAAGGUACGCUUGGAGGACUCUGCGUCCGGUUUGGAAUAGGACAGGGAUGACAUGAAAUAUGUAAGCCGCGGUAAUAUGUGAAUGUGAAAAUUUUUAGAACAAAAGUAUUCCAUUCAGAAAAUUCAGUUGAACAAACAUAAUCUCUAUUAGAUGUCAUCAAGGCACUGCUUCUGCAAACGAGUUAACCAUGAUUUAUUUAAUUGUACUGCCAAACAUAAAUGCAAACAAAUAAUAGCAUCGAUACGGCGUACCGAUCGGAGGAAAACAUUAUCCAAAUUGGUGCAAGUGUAGCUUACGUUCCCUCACCUUGCUUUAAAACACAUCUUAACAGUCCAUGAAUUAUGCUGAUUAAAGCGAUCCAGCGAAGCAACCGCGGCCUGCUGUAACCAUGGAAGACGGAUGCUCCUGUGGCGAAUUUCAGAUUAACAGAACGGGUAUUUUGUUGGGCGCUAUAUCAACAGAAGCUACCACAUUUUGGCCUCAUUUUAUGUGCCAUCCAGAAUGAUCCAUCAUUGGAACUGACUCCAAAUCACAAUUCUAUAUCCUGUUUCUCUAGUUCCAAACGUUUUAUGAUCAUUUAUGUAAAAUUCGAUAUUCGUUAGCAUAUAAUUUCUGAAUACAUUUGGUCACUGGUUGUAAAUACGAUUGUGAAAAAACGUGGUGGAAGUAGCAGGGUAAAGGCAGUACAAUUUUCUAAACAAAAGAAACAAAACACUCAGCAGAACUCAAAGAUUUAGAAACAACCGAAGUUUGUUUCUUAAUUUCAGAAUUCGUUUUGAGUCUGACUGCAUGCCUCAUCUGACUUUAUCUGACAUGCGAGAAAUUCCGACCUUACUCUUAACACCCCGCACGAAGCGUAAAAUGAGGCAAAUUUAAAUUCAAUAAACCCGCAUCGUGACAGUCGGCAGGUGCCUACGGGGGAUGCUUUGUCGGACAUGGGCUGCAUUGGGAUCCGUCUCGCAUAGUAUUAGCCCCGAUAGAUGAAGAUAGGGAAGACCCAACAAGAGACAAGCUAAGCGGUCGGUUUCAAUCACACAUACAAGCACAAAGAGAUUUACACUACCUGACUAGGAGGAAGAGAUCCAGGGACCAGUUUUGGCGGAUCGUAAGUGUGAUUCGCGAAUCUUUCAGUCGCGCACGAUUUAAUAAUCAACGGCUUAGUUUGGCCUUUGCAGUGCACAUUGAGAGAUUGUCGAAAAACUGUCCAUUUUGCGAAUUUGACGAAAUUUUGAUUCAAAACGCUAUGCAGUUCAUUGCUCUGUUGAAUCGGAAUCUUUUCUUGACUCACCUGAAAGGCAGCAAAAAUACAUUAAGGAUUCACUCCAAUAUCGAGCUUGAAUAAUUAACCGUUGCUGCGCGACUCACUUUACCACUAUUCGUUGACACGCGCUAUAAAUGAGUGAUACGCCAAUGUUAUUCAGGUUCAUUGGGGCGUUUUUGCAUGAUCAGGAGUUAGGCGGAGAAAUAAACGAGUUGAGCGACCGGUUUGGCCGAACAUUCUGUUUCUUAAAUUAUGUGUUGAAAGGUUUAAAUGUUUGUUUUGUCCGAUUGAAGACAACAGAUGCUGCCGUCAUCACUUGCGGAAGUGCGGUAUGAUAGAAGAGCAACAUUUCCAAGGAAUAGUGGUUAUAUAAAAUAAUAAAUUCUUGUUUAUCAUUAUGAUAGAUGACAUUUUCUU